AUACGGAGGGUGCGAGCGUUAAUCGGAAUUACUGGGCGUAAAGGGUGCGUAGGCGGCUUGAUAAGUCGGAUGUGAAAGCCCCGGGCUUAACCUGGGAAUUGCAUUCGAUACUGUCAGGCUAGAGUAUGUCAGAGGUUGGCGGAAUUCCUGGUGUAGCGGUGAAAUGCGUAGAUAUCAGGAGGAACACCAGUGGCGAAGGCGGCUAACUGGGACAAUACUGACGCUGAGGCACGAAAGCGUGGGGAGCAAACAAGAUUAGAAACCCCGUAGUCC
rnacentral:rRNA from 1 species